GGCAAAUGGAUGGCACUAGAAGAAACAAUCCUGAAUAAGGAUUGCAAUCAAAGGAAUAAUUAAUAAACAUAUAUGUCAGAUAGUGAAAACUACACUGAAGACCCAUACCGGAUGGAGGCUCAAAGAACUAGGAUAGCAAUAUAUCAGUUCUGACAAGAAGGUUUGAUGAGGAAGAAGCUGAGGCUGUUAUUACAUUGGAUGAGUUUGGAAAUUACCAGUAGAUGCCAAUGAAUGUGAUGCAUAUGCCUAUGUGUGUACCUUUGAGACAAUGUCUCAUUUUGUAGCCCAGAAUGAUCAGAUAAGGAAGUCGAGUCAUCCAGACCUAGUCAUUUGCUGAAAAUCACACAACUCACAAUGAAUGAGGAUCUGGGUGUCAGAUCCAGGAAACAUGCUUGAAAGACCAAGCUUAGCUGCUGUUCCACUGGCGGGAAGAAAGUGUCAUGAGGAAGGGUUACCUUCUUACAGGCCGUGAUGGAGCCAGCCAGGCUGCCCGCUGCACUGCUACUGCUCUGCUGUGGUUCCAAAACUUCAUGCAUCAGUGGUGACUCCGCGUUGCUGUAUGUGCCCCAGAUGCAAAAGAAAGAGAGCAUAGUCCAGUGAGUCGCCUGUCUAUUUAGAAAUGCACUGCAAAUCAAGCAUUGCAUGAUGUCAAACCCAUCUUUUCUGAUUAUUCUCAAUACCACCAGUCUUCCUGCUCCAACUGGCCUUUCCUUGCUGGAUUCACGAUGGGAAUUGGAGAUAGGAUGGACAAUCACACUGUGAACAGAAAACAGCAAGCCCUUGCUUCCCACAGUGCUGAAAUGGACACAGUCCCUCAUGUCCAGCUUCUAAUGGUGCUAGCCACUUUUCUUAAGCAGUUUUAAAAACCACUUUCACUUGUCACAUUAAUUCAGCUCUGCCAAAUCAACAUAUCAUAAAUCACUCAUCUCAUUUUUUCAAAAUGAAGAUAAAAAAUGAUUUUAGCCAGGAAUGUAGCAUGAUAUGACACCAGAAAGAACAUGUGGUCAGCCAGUCACCCCCUUACCACCUCCACAGUGAUAGAAUGUCCUUCAACUUGUCUGUUUUCAAAACAUGAAAUGCUUUCCCAUA